rnacentral:rRNA from 1 species
GGGGAAUAUUGCACAAUGGGCGCAAGCCUGAUGCAGCGACGCCGCGUGAGGGAUGACGGCCUUCGGGUUGUAAACCUCUUUCGCUAGGGACGAAGCGUAAGUGACGGUACCUGGAGAAGAAGCACCGGCCAACUACGUGCCAGCAGCCGCGGUAAUACGUAGGGUGCGAGCGUUGUCCGGAAUUACUGGGCGUAAAGAGCUCGUAGGCGGUUUGUCGCGUCGUCUGUGAAAUUCUGCAACUCAAUUGCAGGCGUGCAGGC